AGAGUACAUUUGAGCCAAGGAUGACUUGCCGGCGGCAUAUGCCACAAAUGUAGAGUUCCGUCUCAUUUGGAUAUUGUCGGCGAGAUGUCUUGGCUCACUCUUACUCUCU
rnacentral:pre_miRNA from 14 species